rnacentral:lncRNA from 1 species
UACUAGUUAUCAUCCCAGGGCCCACUUUAUGUAGAACCAUUGAAACUGAUCAAAUCAAAUCUGUGAGCACCAGAGGGUCCUUUCCAGGUUUUCCUAUGGUGAAUCCCACAGGAUGCUGGCUCCACUGACUGAUCCUUGGUCAUUGUUUGUCAUCGACUAAGUUUGAGGCACAUGGGUUUUUAAGUGCGGGGCUUCUUUUCCUAGGAUGUCACAGUCUUCAACAUGCCAGUUUUCUGAACCUGCUGGGGAGCUUGGGUGUGUGAUUUCUGCAGUGCCUAGGAUCAUCCUGCUCCAUUUCCCUUGCAGAACAGCCCAUGGAACUUGGGUUUAUGGAGCAGGGUUUCAAACCUUCCCCUGUGUAUGGUUCACCUGGGGAUCUUGGAAGUGCAGUUUCUGAAGGGCAGGUCUCAUUCUGAAGGUCUUGGGAGGAGCCAGAGAUAGGCAUUCUAACCUGUUCCAAGUGACGCUGUGCUGCGGGCCACAAGCCACACUUUGGAACAGCGACAUUGGAGGAGAUAUUGCAGAAAGAAGUGUCUGCUAUUUUCUCUACCCUGGGAGCUCCUGUGACAUCACUGUCAUGGACUAACACCCACCAAAGUGUAGGGGCUGUGCUGGGUGAGGAGCUAGAGUGGAAGCUCAUGAGGGCAGGAUAUCAAUCUGCUUUGUUCCCAGCUAUUUGGCCCAAACCUAGAACCAUGCCUGGAACACAGGAGUCUUGGCAGUUUCCUGGGAAAAGAACAUGUUACUAGGAAAAUUCAGCAAAGAUGCCCUAAUCUAGGUACUUUCUGAAAUAUUCGACAUGCUGGGUUGUGGUGGAUUUGAGUUUUCAAGUAGUCCAGGGCUUCUGCAAACUUUAGAAAGAUUUAACAAAGCAUCAAAAGCGAAGUUAGCCAAUCCCCAAAACCCAAAUGCCGAAUGUUUUCUCUGAUAUAAGGAGGCUGAUUCAUAGUGGGAUAGGGAGCGGGAGCAUGGGAGGAAUAGAUGAACUCUAGA